AAGAAAAGUUCGACGUUAUAUAGCGUCGUUGUUAUUGCAUUGCCGUGAGGCAAGAGACAGUCAUGCUUCUUGAAUGCUGCCAAAGUCGUUGGAAUAACGAACCAAGCAGUAAAUAUCCUGAACGGACAAUGUUGUGAAUUAUCGAGGAACCAACCCCAUAAACGCUCGUCUUUUCUCAUUGCAAAGAGAUAUCCCACCCACCCAACGGAAAGUCCAAUUAGAGUUGACUACACGUCGAAGAUAAUUGGCGAACACACUCAGAAGAGAACUCACGAGACAUAUUGGCAGCGACAAUUGCAAUUAAUGACUAACGACAUAAAACACAAUAAUUGAUGGGAAAUUUAUGGAAUAAGUGAGUCUGCAAUAGACGGCUCUAUCAGUCGUUUGAUCAAGAAAUCGAUUUGAAAAGAGGUUUAUCGAGUUAUUGCAACAGGAAAUUCUAUUGGGGAUAUUCACAUAAUUAAAUACGCAGAUUAUAAUACAGCAAGGAAAAGAGUUCAAGGAACUCUUGUUGUAUCUAGACGCACGUGUUACACUUCAACAGCAUCAAAGAGUUAACUAUCCAUACAGUUAAGCAACAUGAUCAACACAGUGAGGAUUGGUAUUCAGAGUACCAAGUCCAGAGUAUGCUUGUGUUACUGGGUGGCAAAAGGCACCGGUUGAAAAAAAAAUAAAAAUAAAUAUAUAAUAAUAAACAGCAACACAACGUGGCAAGGCUUUCUGUGAGCAACAACGGCAGCAACAACAGUAAAUAUAUAAAAAGUAAAUUAUCAAAGUAUCAAAUUGGUUAAUCGAUAUCACUUGAAGAAAUUUUUCGGAUCUGCAUUGAAGCUUACAUUGAAGAGAUUACCUUCAUAAAAUAUAACUAAGAUCUUGUGAUUUUAUGCCGUUACCUCACACGAUGUUACUGGUCAGGUCAUUGUGGCUGUUAAAACGUGGCCAUCACUGAUGAACAAAUGUAUGUAUAUUGUAUAUAUAUAUGUAUAUAUUAAAAUUGACUCGUGGGUGGUGAUGGUUGUCUCGUGUGUUGGCCGCUGAAUAAUAUGUAUAAGCAGGUGGAUGAACCAAAGACACUACGGGGUCGCUAUAACAUGCUCGAUGAUUCAUAAUUUAAAUAAUAGUUUGGAUCAUGUUGCCUACGCUUAAAACUUUACUGAUUAAACAUAAAAUAAAAUAACAAUAACAACAACAACAAAAACAAGAAGAAAACAAAGUAGAAAUAAUUAUUAUUUCAAUGAAAUUGUUGUUGGAACACGUCGCAUCGUUAAGAGACUAUACUGAGACUUAGACUUAAAUUUUAUGACCAGGUAAUUGAACACCCAUAUGCUUCGUCGACUGAUUUAAACAGCCAUAAUACGAAUAAAGCCAGUGUCUAUAGACAACAAACAUAUUCUUCAACCAUAUUAAUUCUUUUUUUUGUUUUUCAUU